rnacentral:lncRNA from 1 species
CUAUCAUGGUUCUCCUUUAGUUUUCUCACGGUUCUUUUGCAACUGCAAUAUCACUCUGGCCUAGUCGGCAUUCAAGGAUAUAUAUGGAAAGCUGUUUAGAAAAUUGG